CUAGUAUCAGGAUCAGGGAUUAGAGUUUGUUGACAGUUGACUGGAGAAUCAAGUGAUUGAUGAUGCUGGAUAGUUGAUGUUGAAAUUGACACGUCUUAAUUGUUUAAAAGUUCAUUAUUACUAGACCAACUAGUGAUUUAAUUUUUUUAGAUAGUUUUAUUGUAUUGUUUGUUAAUUUAAAGUUUUGAUAAUGGUUAAAACACAACGAAUGAAAGUUGCCAAUGAAAAGGCAUCUAAAAAUGUGACUCUCCGAGGAAAUGUUCCUAAAACAACUAAAAAUGCAGAUGAUAAAUAUCCAGUUGGACCAUGGUUAUUAGCUCUCUUCAUCUUCGUCGUCUGUGGAUCUGCUAUUUUCCAAAUAAUUCAAUCCAUUCGAUAUGGAUUCUAAUCAAACAGAUGCUAUGUGUUAACAUAACAACAAAAAAUCAACUUUUCUUCAUGCCCUCCUUUUUCUUUAGUUAAAUAAAUUUAUUAUUUUUCCAAGAA